GGAGAAGUACUCAAGUUGGCCGAAGAGGCGCCCCUGCUAAGGGCGUAGGACGGGAAACCGUCGCGAGAGUUCGAAUCUCUCCUUCUCCGCCA
rnacentral:tRNA from 1 species